AUUGAACGCUGGCGGCAGGCCUAACACAUGCAAGUCGAACGAGUGGCGGACGGGUGAGUAAUGUCUGGGAAACUGCCCGAUGGAGGGGGAUAACUACUGGAAACGGUAGCUAAUACCGCAUACCAUCGGAUGUGCCCAGAUGGGAUUAGCUAGUAGGUGGGGUAACGGCUCACCUAGGCGACGAUCCCUAGCUGGUCUGAGAGGAUGACAAGCAACACUGGAACUGAGACACGGCCCAAACCCCUACGGGAGCCAGCAGUGGGGAAUAUUGCACAAUGGGCGCAAGCCUGAUGCAGCCAUGCCGGGUGUAGGAAGAAGGCCUUCGGGUUGUAAAGUACUUUCAGCGGGGAGGCGUUACCCGCAGAAGAAGCACCGGCUAACUCCGUGCCAGCAGCCGCGGUAAUA
rnacentral:rRNA from 1 species